AGAGUUUAUGGGGGAUACCUUGGCAUUCAGAAGCGAUGAAGGACGCGGUUACCGGCGAAACACUUCGGGGAGUUGGAAACAAGCUAUGAUCCGGAGGUCUCCGAAUGAGGAAACUUUUCAUACUACUUAUUGAAUACAUAGAUAAGCAAGAGCGAACCUAGGGAACUGAAACAUCUUAGUACCUAGAGGAAAAGAAAGUAAAAAACGAUUCCCUUAGUAGCGGCGAGCGAAACGGGAGAAGCCUAAACUUAAUUAUAUUAAGGGUAGCGGGACAAUUGUUAAUCGAUUAGGACAAUUAGACGAAUAAGUUGGAAUGCUUAGCCAAAGAGAGUGAUAGUCUCGUAGUCGAAAAUUGAAAUAAUCAAAUUGAAUCCCAAGUAGCAUGGAGCACGUGAAAUUCCGUGUGAAUCAGCGAGGACCACCUCGUAAGGCUAAAUAUUCCUGAAUGACCGAUAGUGAAACAGUACCGUGAGGGAAAGGUGAAAAGAACCCCGGGAGGGGAGUGAAAAGAACAUGAAACCAUAAACUUACAACCAGUAGGAGGACGACUAAAACGUCUGACUGCGUGCCUGUUGAAGAAUGAGCCGGCGACUUAUAGGUAGUGGCAGGUUAAGGCAGAGAAUGCCGGAGCCAUAGUGAAAGCGAGCCUGAAUAGGGCAUAUGUCACUGGUUAUAGACCCGAACCCGGAUGAUCUAACCAUGGUCAGGUUGAAGCUUAGGUAAUACUAAGUGGAGGACCGAACCGACUGAUGUUGAAAAAUCAGCGGAUGAAUUGUGGUUAGGGGUGAAAUGCCAAUCGAAUUCGGAGCUAGCUGGUUCUCCCCGAAAUGCGUUUUGGCGCAGCGAUAAAUGUUAUAACUUAGGGGUAAAGCACUGUUACGUAUGCGGGCUGGUAAUUCGGUACCAAAUCGUUGCAAACUAAGAAUACUAAGUGUACAGUUUAUCAGUGAGACUGUGGGGGAUAAGCUCCAUUGUCAAGAGGGAAACAGCCCAGAGCACCAGUUAAGGCCCCUAAAUAAUUACUAAGUGAUAAAGGAGGUGGGAGUGCAAAAACAAUCAGGAGGUUUGCUUAGAAGCAGCAAUCCUUUAAAGAGUGCGUAAUAGCUCACUGAUCGAGUAAACCUGCGCCGAAAAUGUACGGGACUAAGUAAUUUGCCGAAACUGUGCGAUAUAUUUGAAAUAUAUCGGUAGGGGAGCGUUCUGUUGUAGAUUGAAGUAUUAGCGUAAGCGGAUAUGGACGAAGCAGAAGUGAGAAUGUCGGCUUGAGUAACGAAAAUAUAGGUGAGAAUCCUAUACCCCGAAAACCCAAGGUUUCCUCCGGAAGGCUCGUCCGCGGAGGGUAAGUCAGGACCUAAGGCGAGGCUGAAAAGCGUAGUCGAUGGACAACGGGUUAAUAUUCCCGUACCAUUAUUUAUUGAUAACGAGGGACGGAGAAGGCUAAGCUGGCCGGAUAUUGGUUACCGGUUUAAACGUUCGAGAUGAUGAGAAACGGAGAAAACGUUUUGAGUUGAGGCGUGAGUACGAGAUGCUACGGCAUUGAAGCAGUGUAUGUCAGACUUCCAAGAAAAGCUUGCAAUGUCAUAAAUAAAUAAUGCCUGUACCAUAACCGACACAGGUGGGUAGGUAGAGUAUACUAAGGGGCGCGAGAUAACUCUCUCUAAGGAACUCGGCAAAAUGACUCCGUAACUUCGGGAGAAGGAGUGCCUUAUUUAUAAGGUUGCAAUAACAAGAUCCAAGCAACUGUUUACCAAAAACACAGGUCUCCGCUAAGUCGUAAGACGAUGUAUGGGGGCUGACGCCUGCCCAGUGCCAGAAGGUUAAAGAAGUUGGUUAGCAUUAGCGAAGCUGAUAACUGAAGCCCUGGUGAACGGCGGCCGUAACUAUAACGGUCCUAAGGUAGCGAAAUUCCUUGUCGGGUAAGUUCCGACCCGCACGAAAGGCGUAAUGAUUUGGAUACUGUCUCGGAGAGGGGCUCGGUGAAAUAGACUUGUCUGUGAAGAUGCGGACUACCUGCACCUGGA
rnacentral:rRNA from 1 species